GACGGAGGAUGCAAGUGUUAUCCGGAAUCACUGGGCGUAAAGCGUCUGUAGGUGGUUUAAUAAGUCAACUGUUAAAUCUUGAGGCUCAACCUCAAAAUCGCAGUCGAAACUAUUAGGCCAGAGUAUAGUAGGGGUAAAGGGAAUUUCCAGUGGAGCGGUGAAAUGCGUAGAGAUUGGAAGGAACACCGAUGGCGAAGGCACUUUACUGGGCUAUUACUAACACUCAGAGACGAAAGCUAGGGAAGCAAAUGGG
rnacentral:rRNA from 1 species